AACUCGUCUCCUUUAAACCCAU
rnacentral:siRNA from 1 species